rnacentral:rRNA from 1 species
UACGUAGGGGGCUAGCGUUGUCCGGAAUCAUUGGGCGUAAAGAGCGUGUAGGCGGUCCGGUAAGUCCGCUGUGAAAGUCGGGGGCUCAACCCUCGAAUGCCGGUGGAUACUGUCGGGCUAGAGUUCGGUAGGGGAGACUGGAAUUCCUGGUGUAGCGGUGAAAUGCGCAGAUAUCAGGAGGAACACCGGUGGCGAAGGCGGGUCUCUGGGCCGAUACUGACGCUGAGGAGCGAAAGCGUGGGGAGCGAACAGG